rnacentral:lncRNA from 1 species
CACUUUCAUCUGUCUCUAAAUCUCAAAAUCCAGCACUAGGUCAAGGAAAUCCUUGUCUAAUGACCAUGCCCUUGUCUUGGAAUAAUACAGAGAAGUAUCAUUAGACUGCCCAUUUAAGAAAUUCAGCAAUAAGGAAAUUAAUCUCCUGAAAUGUUGGUUAUGUUUGGAUUUUCAUUGUGGCUGUUUACAUUCAGCGUGGAAAUGCUGACAAUUUAAAGGACUGCAAUCAUUACUAGAAGCAGAUUACAUUACCAAGGAGUACCAAUCUGACCAUGAAGGUUGGUGUGAUUAACACCCAUCACUCCUAUAUAAAUGUUCCCAGGCCGGCAGUACAGGAUGCUGAUGUGGGCGUAGGAAGGAUAGAGAAUGGGAACAGGAGGUCUCUGGCUGAAGCGUAUGAUAGUUCAUCCAUAUUACAAACACAGGAGCAUGGGGACAGCUGCAGUGGUUAUUCUUCCACAAACAACUCACAGGCACUGAAAAGAGUGCUACAGAGAAUACCCAACUUUUUGGUUACCUUAAAAGACUGGGAGAAGAGGAUUUCCGAUGAAGGCUGCCAAACCUCAGACUCUUUUUUGGAAAAAAUUCAAGGUCCACAGCUAAGAUGGAGCAAUAAUUGUAAUAAUCAGAAUCUCUGUGAUGAAAUAUCAGAAGAAAUCAUGGAACAGCACCUACCUAGUGCCAUUGCACAGUACAAUGUUAACAACAACAGUAAUAAAGAUGAGUAAGUACUCUACAGUUUCAUUAUAAAGUUAUUUGUAUUGUAGAGAAUAGUAAAAAAAAAGCAAUAUACCUAGUUCUUUCCUUGCAAAUUAUUGCAUCAUACAAGUAAUCCCAUAAGGAAUUUCAUGUACAUCUGAACUAUAUGCACAGCAAAUGUUUUUCUAACACAAGUUAGUAGUGU